UUAGAUUGAAGUUUUACCCCAAAGAAGAAAACUCAUUUUGGAAAUUUGUAAUGACAUAACAUUAAUGGAUUUCCUUUCAAAUAUUGAAAUCCUUGUAGGAAAUAAUAUGACAGUGCCACAUCAUUUGGGAUAUAGAUUUGGUAUAAAUUUUUGUGCUUUCAAGUAUUAUCCAUAAAACCUGACAACUUUAAGGUGAUAGGUUCAAACAAGGUAAUAUGUUCAAAUCUCACGACAUAUGUAUGGUGUGUGAGUUAUUUAAUAAAAGUUUAAAAAAAACAAAAAACAAAAACAUUUUCCAUAAAUAAAAUAAAUAUUCAUUUCAAUUUGUUACUCUCUCUCUCUCUCUCACCACAUCAAUUGAAAUACAAUUACCUAAAAAAAAAUCCAGCAACUUCAAUCUUCUCUUUUUCACUUGGAUGGUGUGGUCCGAGAGAGAGAGAGAGAGAGAGAGAGAGAGAGAGAGAGAGAGAGAGAGAGAGAGAGAGAGAGAGAGAGAGGUAGAAGAAGAAGAAGGAUAGAUUGAAUUAAAAACGCGAUUGUUGGUGAUGUAAUCGGCCUUGAUGCCAAGUUAGGAUCCUCCGCCAAAGCUCGUCGCCCUAUCCUUGCCGUUUCUUCUUACACGAUCUGGGGACAUGAAGAUCCCAUCGCCGCCAACAAACCAUAGGGUUUCGCCUCACGGAAGCUCCAAAAGCCGCUGAGCUCUCGCAUGUAUAUCACAAGAAAUAAGUAAAUUUAAUGAAAUUAAAAUGUAUGGUGAAAUGAGCAAGCAUGGUGAACAAAAAAAAUGGUAGGAUGACAAUAACCGUGUGGUCGUGCACUUAGCAAAAUCAAGCUACAUCAAUCAGUUUUUAAAUUUAAAUUCAAUAUUGUAAUGUAUCUUCCCAUUCUGUUUUGUAAACUGAUUCAUGGAUCAAGAUCUGGUAACUAGAAUUACGAAGAAAACAGGAAGGAAUGAAAUGAUGCAGUGGCCAUGUCAUGUCGUCAUUGUAGGAGUUGGUGAGUAGUAGGAGUAAUUGGUCACAAACCCUCUUAGAGAAAAAGGGUCAAGCCCUGCUUUUGGAAAAUAAUGGUUUGUGAUUCUGGGUUGGUGAUGGGCUACUUAGUAAUUUCAGUCACUCAGUACCAACCCCUAGAAGCAACUUGUGUACGUCGUGUUGUUGCGUGUGUGACCGUGUGAGUGAUACACCUUAAAACUAAUCAUCACCCGUAAUCCCCAUGCCAGAUCUGUGAGUUUUUUUUUCCGCAAUUUUUAAUUUUGAUUGGAAACAAGUGAAGGAUUGUGGUUUGGAAAUAUAAAGAAAUAUAAAAUUUGGCCCACCAACCCCUUCUAAAACUCCACGUGAGCUGGAAAAUUAUUAAAUAGCAUGAUUAUUGUGUAGUGGCUUAAACAUGUUUCUUAACCGAGCCAUUGUUUGUACUUGAGUUGGCUCACCUACUCCGGACUUUAGACGAAAAUGGGAUUGUGAAUUUAGAGCAGAUAAUUUUUCCGUAGAUAUAAUGAUACCGUAGGCGAUGAAAAAAAGUUAAUUGAGUUAUGAUUUGUAAAAUAUCUACUUUACAGGAAACUUGCUUAAACUUACUUACCAAAUUUAUUGGUGUCGGCGUAAUAUGAAUGGUCUCAAUUUUGUCAGCAUUCUAUUCUUUACUCUCCUAAAUAUGUGUUUAAUUUGUUAUGGGAAGAGAAGAAUGAUCAUCUAGACAUGUUAAACAUUCUCUUCAAUGUUUUUUUUUUGACGAAAUUCUCUUCAAUGUUUGGCUACUAGACACUUUUGUAGGAUGAUUAGUUGUGGGAAUUUAACUAACAAGUUAUGAAUUUGGGUGCAUUAAUUGUAUCUAGGAAGUAAUUCGGGCUCGUUAAGCUUUCAACCUCAUAGUUAUGGCAAAGUACCUAAAGAAAAUUGACCUUUUUUCUUUUUCAAAUUUUUGAGAAAAAAAUCUAACAGAAGUAAUACAAGUAUACACAAAACAUUGCGUACAAUUGGAAUUUAGAAAUAGGACAUCAUGGGACAUAAUUGUCUUCGUAAUUACUAAUUUGGGUUGGGAGAAUACAGAUAAGUAACCAACCUACUAAUCAACCAAUUCCAUUUUUACAAGUUUAGAUCAUCUCCAACAGUUUUCCCAAAAUUUCUUUAAAAUGGGGAAGCAAAAGCUAAAAUCUCCAAAAAAUUAUGCUUAAAAUCCAACAGCUUCUCCAUUUUGGAGAUUUCAGCAUUUAAUACAACAAUAAAAUAUACUAUAUCAUUAUUAAUUAUAACAAAAUACAUUAUAUAUUUCAUUGUAACAAUAAAAUAUUCUAUUGAUGUUUUGAAUUUGUUGGAGCUUGUGAAGAAUUUAAUUUUGGGGAAGGAAUGCUUUGCUGCAAAUUUGGGGAAUGAAGACUUCUUUUGCUUCUCUAUCCCUAUUUUGGGGAAUGGGAUGGGGAAGCUGUUGGACCUAAAAACAGCUAUAUAUUCCCCAAAAUUGAGAAUUUCAAGAAAUUUGGGAAGCUGUUAGAGAUGCUCUUAUAUCCGGAUCGCUUAUCAUCUUUUCAAAUGCCAAAAGAACUACUCUCCCAUCUCCAUUUUGCUAACAACUCAUUAGCUAGUCCGACGGAUGAUGUGACAUGAUGAUUAGAUUAAAAUUAAUCCCAAACGUAUUCACUGCGUAGUGAUCAGGCCGGAUGUGCACAUGCCCUUAUUUAUGUCAUAUUGAAUCUUUUACAUCCAUUCAAUGCAAGACACGAACUGAAAACAUUGAUUUAUCCAAAUACGACAACAUAGGUUUAGCAUAAUCCUAAACUUAUGAUCGUUGAAUGCUAGUUGUAACCCAAACUACUCAGGCCGGAGGAACCUUCCCAUUGGAGAUUAUAUCAAACCAAUGAUUCCUCAUUCCUUAAAUUAGGAAGAAGGCCUCGAGCAACAACCUAUGUGUUCCAGUGAAUGCAGAGGGACGAAAUCUAUGUUCGAGAGACCGUCAUACUCUCCCAAAAUCAACAUUCUAUACCAACCCAUGUACUUGUCUUAGAGCAUCUUUAGCAAAAAUAGCUAAAAUGUCAUUUUUGCUAGCCACUUUUUUAACUAAAGUUUAAUUUAUAUUAUUGAUUAAAUUUAAAAAAUUAAUUUAAAAGUGUCUUAAUAUUACAUAAAAUGACUUAAAAUGAAUAUAUUGAAUUAACAUUAAUUAUGGAGAGCCUCAUCUCGUUAGGUAUAUUUAGCUAGCAAGAUAGCUAAAAAUUAAAAUAGCUAGUCAUUUACGUCUGCUGGAGCUGGUAAAAUUAAUAAAAAACUAAACUCGUUUUCUAAAAUAACUAAAAAACUAAUAUAGAAAGUUUGUUAAACAUGUUCUUAUCUAUGAAUUCCAACUUAAAUUCUUUCUAUUUAUACGAAGAACAGAAGAAGUCUAAUCUAACCACCUUAUCACCUAAGUUUGAAAGAUAACAGAGAAGUCAGAGAACUAAAGUGUAAUGCCAAAUCAAAUUAUCCAAGUCACUUUCUUUAAAAAAAAAAAUUAUCAAGCAAGACGUGAAGACGACCACCGCUCCUCUUCCUCCUUGUAUGAAGAUCUUCAUUUACGAGAGAGAGAGAGAGAGAGAGAGAGAGAGAGAGAGAGAGAGAGAGAGAGAGAGAGAGAGAGAGAGAGAGAGAGAGAGAGAGAGAGUAGUAGUAGUAGUAGUACGUANNNNNNNNNNNNNNNNNNNNGAGAGAGAGAGAGAAAUCUGAGCAGAAAUUUUUUUUCUUAUCACAUCCAUAAGCAACCCUUGUGUGAUAUAUAUGAUACGUGGUCAUAGUGACGGUGUCAAAACCCCACCAUGCACAAACACACAUGCUCUAUAUUCCUCACUCACUCGGUCACUCCCUACUAAUUAAGCCUUUUUGUGAUCGUGCCUCCUGACAACCUCACGUUCCCUUCCUUCAGGCACCGCACCUCCUCCUCCUCCUCCUCCACCUCCACCUCCCCCUCCGCCUUUCUUUAUCAUAUUCCAUCAACACUGCAGCACUACCUCUUAUUAAGCCCGUCAAUUGUGGGCCCCAUUCUGACUACUGUGCUUCUAGGGAGUUUUUCGUAUCAAAAUCUGUAUCUGGAUUCCAGUUAUAUGCUUGGGAUCCGAUCUGAAUGGAUUUUUAUUUAUUCAGAAAAUAAAUAAAUAAAUAAAUAAAACGUCGGUGGUUGAGACCUAAGACAAAAAAGAGCCUAGAAUAUAAGAGGUAUUGGGACGUACACUAAUGCGCUCUAUGAGUUGAGUAGUCGGUGGACACGACCAGGCGUAAACGACGUCGUAGCCUACACGCCACCACCCGACACAGGCAAAGGCAAUGAUACUUUGCAAUCUGCAUGCAAUUUCUGGUCUUUUACACCUUGUGUGUGCCUCCGACUCGUGAAGACCAUGUUCUAUACUUUAAUAAAAGAGGGAAAAUGGCCCUUGUAUGCCCUGUUUGCAUGUAGUCGGUUAGUGACAGAGAUAUGCUUACCAAAUGAGAAAGAUAUGCCUAUUAUAUAAAUUUAGGUACACAAAUAUCAUUGCUUUUUAGUCUUUCCUUUAGCCCGUCAAGACUAUUUUCAAUUCUGUUCAGGGAAAAUGGUGUUUGCACGCACAUAAGUUGCACAGAAUCUGAGAGAUCCCCGUUAUAAGUUAGUGUAUUCCUUAGUUGCUCCGACAUAGAAAGGGAGGGCUAGGCUCACACUCACCAUGAGUGUGGAUGAGCCAUAAUCACUCUCCACUUACCACUUGUCAACAAGGAAAAACACUUACAAAUCUAUUUUUCCAUUUCCUUUGUUACCCUUCAUAUAAAAAAAAAAAAAAACAAUAAACUCAAUAGAGACAUUCAAUCUAAAACACAUGCACAUCAUCGGAAUAGAGGCUGAGCCUCAUUACAAGAAUCUUAGCCCUUGAUUGCCUUCACUGUUUUGGUCUCAUCAAUUUUAUGGCUCUCUUUAUUCUCUCUCCAAUUUGACCCAUACACUUUUCCUUGGGUCAGAGGAGGUGACAUAAGGGUUGAUCGGUCACACCUAAUGGUUGAAUUCUCAGACACGGAAGAUGAAUGAAAGAAAAGACUUUCACAUACGAUGCAAGACUCACAUAGGUUUCACGCCUAUGUAGAAUUACUAUUGAGUAUUGAC
rnacentral:lncRNA from 1 species